UAGCAAAGUCAUCGACUACCGUCGUAUAACAAGCUUUAUGGAAAAGAACGUGACAUACAACAUGCCUGGAUUGGUUUGGUGCACCUCCUCAGACAAGAAGCCAAAAAGUAUGGUGUCCUUGAUAACAUAUCAUGCUUCCCAUUUGAAAACUUCCUUGGCAUGGGUGUCUUAAUAAACAAUAGACAGUCAUCGCUCAGUUAUUGGCCCUUGGACUCCCCUGUCACCUCUUGUACAGCAUGAGGUUUUCUGCUAUGAAGAUUUACAGAGACUCCAGAACGAAAAACAAACCCUAAGGGAAAGCAAUGCACCAGCAGAUGACAGCGGCUCACUUCAAGAGCAGGUGAAGCAAGUUGGGAUAAUGUUGAAGAUGUUUGCUCACACUGGGCAAUCAGGUGCAGACGUCUUGGAGAGUUUGGC